AUUGAACGCUGGCGGCAUGCCUUACACAUGCAAGUCGAACGGCAGCACGGGUGCUUGCACCUGGUGGCGAGUGGCGAACGGGUGAGUAAUACAUCGGAACAUGUCCUGUAGUGGGAGAUAGCCCGGCGAAAGCCGGAUUAAUACCGCAUACGAUCUACGGAUGAAAGCGGGGGACCUUCGGGCCUCGCGCUAUAGGGUUGGCCGAUGGCUGAUUAGCUAGUUGGUGGGGUAAAGGCCUACCAAGGCGACGAUCAGUAGCUGGUCUGAGAGGACGACCAGCCACACUGGGACUGAGACACGGCCCAGACUCCUACGGGAGGCAGCAGUGGGGAAUUUUGGACAAUGGGCGAAAGCCUGAUCCAGCAAUGCCGCGUGUGUGAAGAAGGCCUUCGGGUUGUAAAGCACUUUUGUCCGGAAAGAAAUCCUUGGCCCUAAUACGGUCGGGGGAUGACGGUACCGGAAGAAUAAGCACCGGCUAACUACGUG
rnacentral:rRNA from 1 species